rnacentral:misc_RNA from 1 species
UACGGAAGGGGCAAGCGUUAAUCGGAUUUACUGGGCGUAAAGCGUGCGUAGGCGGCUUGAUAAGGCGGAUGUGAAAGCCCCGGGCUCAACCUGGAAAUUGCACCCGAAACUGUCUGGCUAGAGUGGGGUAGAGGAAAGUGGAAUUCCAGGUGUAGCGGUGAAAUGCGUAGAUAUCUGGAGGAACAUCAAUGGCGAAGGCAGCUUUCUGGGCCAACACUGACGCCGAGGUACGAAAGCGUGGGGAGCAAACAGG